GGCUGAGUUACAUUUUUGGAGUCACGUGAUCUGCUCCUGUGACGUGGGUACUACGUGAUAGCGAAUCGGCGAAUAAUCAUCCACAUCGGACCACAAGCGCGCCACAAAAAAUUACAAACGUGGUGACAAACAUAGUGUUCCGAUAGAUGUCGCCUUUUGAACAGGGCAUUCGACUAUGGAAGAAAACGAGCGGACUGAUAACAGUGGAAAUCCUCAACAAUCAAUCGUGCACGUCACCCUCAAUCAUCCCAUACAAGUCGUAACAGCCGGUGGCCUAUCCGAGAGCGAGGAACUAGAAGAGGAGCGCCGACGGCGAGAAGUUUUGGCCCGACGUCCAUCUUAUAGGAAGAUACUGCACGAGAUAGCCGGCGACGAUCAACUCAAAGGAGAUCAUCACGACGAAGAUUCAAAUAGUGGUCUUAGCGAUACUGGAAGUGAAACAAACCUUCAGCAGCCUGUCAUUCCAGCUCACAUUCAGCUGGUAUCAGAUACCAGUGGUGUACAAACAAUUACUAUGACAAAUUCAACAUCACCAACACCAAAUGGUUCUACUAUUGUUCAGUACGCCCAAAGUCCUGAAGGGCAACAAUAUUUCAUUCCUGUUUCUGUUGCUGGAACUCCAGGUCAAACGUAUCAGUUAACCACGGCAAACUCCCUCCAAUCUUCACCGAACGUAACAGAAGAGGCUAGUCGCAAGAGAGAACUUAGACUUUUAAAGAAUAGAGAAGCUGCUCGAGAAUGUAGGCGAAAGAAGAAAGAAUAUGUCAAAUGUCUCGAGAAUAGGGUAGCAGUCCUCGAGAAUCAAAAUAAAGCGUUGAUAGAGGAGCUAAAGAAUUUAAAAGAACUGUAUUGCUCCAAAGAUGAUGUAGCUUAACAUGCGAGUUUAAUGACAAUUUUCCUCUCUUUGUUUUCAAGCUGGUGCUUAAAAAAAUGUAUAUAUAUAUAUAUAUAUUUGUAUAUAUAUAUAUAUGUAUACAGUAUAUAUAUAUAUUAAUCUCUCUAAUAUGUAAAUCUAAUCUUUGUAAAUAUUGUGCGCAAAUUGUAGAGCAAUCUGUACAGUUUGUUGUUUCAAUUGUUUUGUCUGUGAUGUUUGAGAAUGGUUCAAUAAGUAUAUCUAAUUUAUUAAACAGCUCUUUCGAGCAGAUUUUUGUCAAAAUUCAACUUAGUAGGUUCAACAGCUUUACGAUAGAAAAACAGUACCGUUCUCUGAACGGGAUAGGUACGCCAAAAUAUGAAAAGUGAUAUUAUAGCUAGGACAAUAUAAUACUCUCUCAAAGGCAAUCGACAGCUUCCUUUAUCCUUUACCAAAUCGUAGAUGUAAUUAUAAGUUUCGUCCUCAGAUUUCUGCACUACAGCCGGAAGAGGCUUAUUUAAUAUUUCUUUUAGACUGGCUUCAUCCUCAUCAUUAUAGCGUUGCCGUUUCUGUUCUGGCGAUUUUUUCUUGAAGGCUUGCGGUUUAGCGGCAGGUUGAAUUUUUUGUAUGAAGCUUUCAUCUUCACGGCCUAUUCUUUUGGCGUGUAGCUGAGCUUUGGGAACUGGAGCUGGAGCCCAAGAAUCUUUUCUUAAACUUUCAAUCGAACAUGCAAGACUAAUGAUAUAUAUUGAUAUUAGAAGCAAACUCAUUUCUGUCUUGUUAACUCUAGUUGAAGUAAAGAGUAAUUAGAGUAUAAUAAAGCUUCAAAUCUCUCCCAGAGUAACGUGAAUAAAUUAAUUUAAUAUUAUUUUUUUGUAUUGUAGGCCUAAAGCUGUAUUACAACAUCAACCCCUUGUUACAUAUUCCAUCUCUCUCCCUUUUUCAAAG
rnacentral:misc_RNA from 1 species